CUUGUUUGAAAGCUGCAGCGCUGAGAGGAAGCUGACGGUUCUUUGCGACACGUCUUCGUGUUUGUGGUCGAGCCUGGAACAGAAGUCGCGCCACUGUGGGGGAUGAACAGAAAGAGGACGGACCGCUGAGGAAGACCCAGGACCUGCUGGACACCUCCGUCCCUAGCCUGCAGACCCAAACCAGCUCACCUGCUGAGAGAAGCUCUUUCCAGCUUGCAGUGGCAGCAGGCUAAGCAGGUAUUUCCAGAUGUCCGUCCCACCAGCAAUGCUUUGCAGUUCCUCCUGAGGGAUCUUGAGGUGUUCCCACACCAGGUUUUAACUGACCUUGCUGUGUGGCAAGGGGCAUUGUCUUGUUGGAAAAUCCAGUCAUUGGAGGCAGGAAAGAGUUUUCCAGCUGUUGGAAGAAGACUAUUUUCAAGAGUAGCCCUGUACAUGACCUGGUUGAUUCGCCCUUCACACAAUUGCAUACUGAAAAAACCCCAGAUGGUCACUGAUGUUUUACUGUAGGGGCAAGACAGUCUGGUUUGUAGGCUUCUCCAGGCUUCUUCCUAACCAGUAAGUUGGCUGGAGUGGGC
ensembl:lncRNA